UGCAGACUGGAGGGUCCCAGAUUCAAUCCCAGGCAGAGCAUAUGUCCAGGUUGUGGGCUGGAACUCCAGUUUGGGGCGUGCAAGAGAUGGCCAAUCAAUUAUUUUCUCUCAUCAUUGAUGUUUCUAUCUCUCUCUCUCUCU